rnacentral:lncRNA from 1 species
CCGCUUUGUUUAUUCAAAUAUGCAUUGUUUUAAUUAAAAUAUUUAUUGUAUUUAUUUUUCGGGUAAACCUUAUUAUUAUGCCUUUGACUAUCCAACUUUAUUCAUUGCUAGACCAAGGGUAACUUGAUUAGAGUUACGCCUAAGUUAAUGCUUAGCCAUGCUUAGAACAAGUAGUUCAUGGGAUCACAUUUAACCUUGCUUAGUUCUGAAUAGCUG